UACGUAGGGGGCGAGCGUUGUCCGGAUUUAUUGGGCGUAAAGAGCGUGUAGGCGGCCAGGUAGGUCUGCUGUGAAAACUCGAGGCUCAACCUCGAGACGUCGGUUGAAACCGCUUGGCUAGAGUCCGGAAGAGGAGAGUGGAAUUCCCGGUGUAGCGGUGAAAUGCGCAGAUAUCGGGAAGAACACCCGUGGCGAAGGCGGCUCUCUGGGACGGUACUGACGCUGAGACGCGAAAGCGUGGGGAGCGAACAGG
rnacentral:rRNA from 1 species